UGGGGAAUAUUGGACAAUGGGCGCAAGCCUGAUCCAGCCAUGCCGCGUGAGUGAUGAAGGCCCUAGGGUUGUAAAGCUCUUUCACCGGUGAAGAUAAUGACGGUAACCGGAGAAGAAGCCCCGGCUAACUUCGUGCCAGCAGCCGCGGUAAUACGAAGGGGGCUAGCGUUGUUCGGAUUUACUGGGCGUAAAGCGCACGUAGGCGGACUAUUAAGUCAGGGGUGAAAUCCCGGGGCUCAACCCCGGAACUGCCUUUGAUACUGGUAGUCUUGAGUUCGAGAGAGGUGAGUGGAAUUCCGAGUGUAGAGGGGAAAUUCGUAGAUAUUCGGAGGAACACCAGUGGCGAAGGCGGCUCACUGGCUCGAUACUGACGCUGAGGUGCGAAAGCGUGGGGAGCAAACAGG
rnacentral:rRNA from 1 species